AGAGUUUGAUCAUGGCUCAGGAUGAACGCUGGCGGCGUGCCUAAUACAUGCAAGUCGAACGCACAGCGAAAGGUGCUUGCACCUUUCAAGUGAGUGGCGAACGGGUGAGUAACACGUGGACAACCUGCCUCAAGGCUGGGGAUAACAUUUGGAAACAGAUGCUAAUACCGAAUAAAACUUAGUGUCGCAUGACACAAAGUUAAAAGGCGCUUUGGCGUCACCUAGAGAUGGAUCCGCGGUGCAUUAGUUAGUUGGUGGGGUAAAGGCCUACCAAGACAAUGAUGCAUAGCCGAGUUGAGAGACUGAUCGGCCACAUUGGGACUGAGACACGGCCCAAACUCCUACGGGAGGCUGCAGUAGGGAAUCUUCCACAAUGGGCGAAAGCCUGAUGGAGCAACGCCGCGUGUGUGAUGAAGGCUUUCGGGUCGUAAAGCACUGUUGUAUGGGAAGAACAGCUAGAAUAGGGAAUGAUUUUAGUUUGACGGUACCAUACCAGAAAGGGACGGCUAAAUACGUGCCAGCAGCCGCGGUAAUAC
rnacentral:rRNA from 1 species